rnacentral:rRNA from 1 species
GGGGGAAUAUUGCACAAUGGGCGCAAGCCUGAUGCAGCCAUGCCGCGUGUAUGAAGAAGGUCUUCGGGUUGUAAAGUACUUUCAGCGGGGAGGAAGGGAGUAAAGUUAAUACCUUUGCUCAUUGACGUUACCCGCAGAAGAAGCACCGGCUAACUCCGUGCCAGCAGCCGCGGUAAUACGGAGGGUGCAAGCGUUAAUCGGAAUUACUGGGCGUAAAGCGCGCGCAGGCGGUUUGUUAAGACAGAUGUGAAAUCCCCGGGCUCAACCUGGGAACUGCAUUCGAAACUGGCAGGCUAGAGUCUUGUAGAGGGGGGUAGAAUUCCAGGUGUAGCGGUGAAAUGCGUAGAGAUCUGGAGGAAUACCGGUGGCGAAGGCGGCCCCCUGGACAAAGACUGACGCUCAGGUGCGAAGGCGUGGGGGGCAAACAGG